GACUAGCUACCGUUUACUACUCAAAGCAGAAGGACUACUCUUACUGUGCAGUGCUGAGCCUCUUACACCCUUAUAUGAAAUGCAAAGGGUGUGCCACAUCACCUGUUUGUCUUCUCCUUUCUUCCCUUAGAGUGGAGAACAGCAAAAUCAGAAAGGUCUUUUGGAUUGAGGGAGCAAACUGGAACGCAGGAUGCCUGCUGAUCGGGAAGUGCGCUGAGAUUUCUCCUACAGACUUAGAUUCUAAUUUCAUUUGUAAUUUGGAAUGGCUCCCAGUGCUCUGCAAGGCCUGUCUAAAUGACUAGAAGAUACUGAAAUAAAAAAGAAUAAUUAACAUAUAAGUGGAAGAAUGGAGUAAACAUGACUGUGGAUGUGUUCUUAGAGGAAGCUGGGUGGUCGUCUUCAAAAGAAGUUGCCAGAAAGCAAAGAGAAAUAGUUUGGAUUGAGAGGAACAGUCAGCUCUGUCCACUUGCUGGCAGCACUGCCAGCAUCACAGGAAUGUGGAUGUCAACAUUUCUCCUUUCUUCUGCAAGCACUCCUGUUUUUAAGUAUCUUCAGAAUAAAGGUUUCUAGAUUUGGCAUUACCUGUUUUUGAUUCUAUAUGAGAGGCCUUAUACAAAAAUUUUCAAAUAGACAAUAAUUUGAAUGAACUGCUGUUUGAAUGUACUUGUCAGCUAGCACGUGACUCUUGAAUACAUUUGGUAUCUAGAUUCUGGUCUCUGUUUUGUUGAUCCUAUAACGUUUGAGUCAAAUAUGAAGAUCAGUAAAAAGAAAUUCAG
rnacentral:lncRNA from 1 species